rnacentral:lncRNA from 1 species
AUGGGUUAAAAUUCACUCUUCUACUCACUUAUUGGGUUGCUCUAGUUUUCUAGCUUUGGCCACUGGGAGCUCUUCCAUGUUUGUGCCUGUGUCCUUUGACAUGAUCCCAACCUUUUAAGUACUUCCUUGCUUCUUUGAUGACAAAGAUACUCCAAGUUCAUCUUGUACUUUUCCUUCCACGGCCCUGGAAUCAGCCACUUCUCCAAAGAUUCCUUACACAAUGGUAUUUAAAUACCGAGAUUUAGGCUAGACAUGCUCAUUGCUACAGGAGUGUUCCUGCUUCAAAGUCCUCUCAGUAAACAAAGCUUGGAAAUAUAUGCAUGAUAGUGUCAAAAGAGCCAGGCAUUUAAUCCAGGCAUAUUUUACUAAUCCAAUAAUCCCCUCACCUAUCCUGCGUCUGGUUUAUAAACUGUGAGGAUUCACAAGUUAGGAAAGAAUAAAGAAAUAAUAAGUCAAUUAUAUAAAUAAUUAAAACAGGAAGAUUAAAAUAAAGGCCAUUCUCUUUUAUUAGGCUAAGGACUAGCAGAUGUUCUUUACACUGACAGAACUCUAAUAUGCUUUAAGUUAUAAAUCUACUAUGUCUGAGAAAAACUUCUAAGCUCAGAGUCUUUGUUUCCUUAUCUAUGCAAUGGGGAUGAUUACCUGCAUCCCCUAAAGAUAUCAUGAAAACAAUGUAACGUAAUAAAUGUAUAGGUACUUUGUAAACUCUGAAAUCCAUGAUUUUAAGGGCAAAUUGCUGUUCAACAUGAAAAAUACUUAAUAGGAAAAAUAUUUACCAGGAUAUGACAGGCAAAAUUCUAAAUAUGUCCCUCCAAGAUUCCCAUUCCCUGAUUAUUCCAUCACACAAGUAUCUAGGUACUGCCAUGAAGGUACUUUGCAGAUGGAAUUAAGAUUAUCAGAUGGCUUUAAAAUAGGGAAAUUAUUCUGGAUAAUUACUGGGCCCAAUGUAAAACAUGAGUCCUUAAAAGGAAAAGAGGAAAGUGGGAGAGUCCGUCAGAUGCAUGUGAAUAAAAAGAUGAGGCCACAGAAAUGAGGCAGAAGGGGAGGGCAGAGAGAGAUGUGAGAAAAACCUGACCUAUUAUUUCUGCCUUUGAAAAGGAUAAUGAGGCAGGGUAUAUAUGUGGAUUUUAAGAGCUGAGAAUGGCUGCAGGAACAGUCAGCAAGGAAACAGAUCCCAGUCCUACAAUCACAUGAAACUGAAUUCUGCCAACAGCUUAAAUCAUCCUGGAAACAGAUUUUCCCUUACAGCUGCAGAAAGGAAGGAAGGAAGAAACUGAGGGAAAGAAGAGAGGAAACAAGCUUGCUGAUCCCUUGCUUUCAGCCUUGUAGAAUGAUAGCAGAGAUCCAUGCUAUGCUCAUAUUCCUGACCGAUGAAAACUGUGAGUUAAUACAUGGGUACGGUUUUAAGUUACUCUAUUUGUGAUGAUUUGUUAAAGCACCAAUUAAAAAAAUACAUGAGGUUUCUGCAGAAGAAAAAUGAUUUAAAAAAUGAAAUAUUUCUUCUCAUAAUCUAUGUGAACCAUAGCACUAGUGAUAGAUAAUAAGAAUCAGAAACAUUUGAUGUGGAAAAGUGAAGAAAUUGAAAGUAUGAUACAAACAAUCUGCACUUACAGGGUCCACUCUUCAAUUUCACUGGUCUUUAUUUGAGACCUGUAUGAGUCACAAACCUACCUACCUACAUUUUCUAAAGAGAACAUGACAUGAGAGCAUAAAGAACUCAAGACAUGGAUUUAUAAUCUCUCAUAAAAUGUAACCCAGGUUGUAUGUAACCCAGGUAACUACACAAAUGACCUUUGGCAUUAUAUCACCUCUGAACUUCAAUUUCUACAUCUUUAAAUAGGAACUAUGUUGGUUUAAGUGAGAUGACAUAAAUGGAAGUUUUCGCAAAUGAAAAAUACAAAAACGGUUAUCAGGUUUUGGUACAUUACUUAGUGAUUUUCAGAAACUGACCUAAAUAGUUUUGGCGGUCAGAUUAGCAUAGGCCAUUAAUAUUCUAAGUCUGAUUUACAAUCUUUCAUUCUAAUGCUGAUCUCUCUACAUAGUCUCCUACUUUGAUAUUAUAAAUUGAAUGCAUUAGGAGGUGGUUUGGGGUUUAUACAGAGAGUAGGAAUGAAGGAACAGAAGGAUACAGAAUAAUACGGUAAUCCCAAAUUUCCCAAUCACUGAAAAGGACACUAAGUAAAGGAAGUUUUUAAAAAAUUCCCAUGAUCCUCCAUUGUAGGUUGAAAUGUUUCUCCCCUCUGUCAAAUUCAUAUGUUGAAGUUCAUUUCCAGUACCUCAAGGUGUGACCUAAAGAGUUAAGAUGUGCUCAUAAUGCAGUAGAAUGCUCUAGACUCCUGAUCCAAUGUGACGUCACGUCUUUUCUAAAAACGGCAAUUUGGACAUACACACAGGGAAUACACGUGUAAAGAGGGAGGUAAAGAUGAGGGUGAUGCUUCUAUACACCAAAGAGCAAAAAACAAUGAUAGCAAACUACCAGAAGCCAAGAGAAAGGCCUAGAGCAGACUAUCUUUCACAUCUCUCAGAAGGACCCAACCCGGCACCUUGAUCUGGGAUGUCUGGCAUUCAGAUCUGUGAGAUAAUAAAGUACUGUUGUUUAUACCACCCUUUUGGUGUUAUUUUGUUACAGUAGCCCAAACAACCUAAUGCCCUCCUCCAUUCAAAAAAGAAGAUCACAAGGAACUACUAUGAUUUCCAUUAUCCUGCAGAGGGUAUGAACUUUCAAAUACUUUGGAUUUAAAAAACAGUGGGAAUUGUUAUUGCUGUAUUUUACAAGAAAAUCAUGGACAUAAGAUAGCUUGAAAGGUUUGCUUAAAAUAAAAAAGAUGGAGGUGGAAAACCUUGAACAUGAAACUUUUCAAAGUUUGAAUCCACAUUUCCCUUUGCUAUGCUAUUCAAUUUCCACUUGGUUAAAUUCCUCAUAUUUAUCCCCAGACUCAGAUGGAAGAAUCUAUCAAAUACAAAUGGUAAGGGAGCUCAGCUCUUAGACUGUAUGUUUGGGACAUGAUAAAAUUCCAUGAAAUUCAACUGCAAGGGGACCAGGGAGCAGAACCCAGAAGGUAGCGUCCAGCUGUCCUGGCGAGGCAGCUUCCACAAGUCCAUUGUCUUGAUCAGUUUAUCAAAGCAAAACUGCUUGAGCUGUUCAAGUAUAAGUCCAGCACCAGCAUAUGUCAGAGACCUCAUCUUUGUCCAAUUCUGUUUUAUUAGAUUACAGUCCAGCAGAUGUUCUAUGCCCCUUGAGGAGCUCUAACAUAUUUUAAAUUCCCAGCCUAGCUCCUUUGAGAAAUACUCAAAAUCCAGGUACUGUUUUGCCAGCGAACAAAACUGCUUCUGUAGGAUUAAAAUAUUCAGUCUCUUGGGCUUUUGGUUAAAGUUUACCUGGCGAUGCACUGUGGUGAACAAACAGCCACAGUUGUAUAUUGAAAGUUUUAACCUCUACAGAGUUUGUAGCUUAUCUGAAGAGCAAACUAUUAUUAACUGUAGAAAUAAUGGAUUUAUAAUCCCUGAAGAAAAUAUCAAAGUAGGUAGGUGAGUAAGGAUGAAACAUUCUUUCUUUUCCUUAUUUGUUUCCCACUUCUUGAAUUAUUAGGAUUGUCUCCAUCCCUCAUCCCACUUGAAAAAACUACAAAAACCAAAAUAACAGAGACCUAUUAUUAGAGGAAAAAAAAGUUGUAAAUAGUGAAGUAAUUUACACAUAAAAAGCAUAUGCAAAUUAAAUCUGUCUUUUGUUAUCUUAACUUCUGGGGUGAUACUCAAAAUAGCUACUAUAACAUUAUCCACAAAUAUGUUAGAGAUUUCUGAACAUCAGCAAGGAACCGUUUAUCAAUCCAACUCAGGGGAAGUAUGUUGCACUAAAAAGGACAUUAAACAAGAAGUUAGAAGACCUGAUUUCUGUAUCUGUCUCCCCAGCUACCAGGCUGUAUGAUGUCACUUCAAGAUGCCCAUUGGUAACAACUCCCCAUCUGUGUAAUGAACUACAUGAUCCGUAGGUCUAUUUUUCAUCUAAAAUCCAUGAGAUCCAAAUGUAACAGGAUCUCCAAAGUCUAAUAAAAAGCAAAUCUUAAUUUUGAUUUUGUAGAAUAUGGAGAAUAAACUAACUCCAAAUACAAGCUGAUUAAAGUGGUACUAGCCAAAUAAUUUCAUCUCAAAGCUUGGUAUAUAAACUUUAAAGGUGGAAUGUGGAACAAAAAUUAAAACUAAUGAUUACUUAUCAUGUGCUAUGUUCUAUGCUAGUUUCUUGAUAUACUCACAUCUACAUGUAAGAAUCCUACAAGAGAACUUUAAUAAUGAUCCCCCAAAUGGGGUUAAUUUUAAGCUGAGGGAGGAAGAGAAGAGAGGGGAAUAUAUCUUCACUUAGAAAUGCAAAGUUGGCGAGUAAGGCAGUGUUUCUAUUACAUACAUCUUAAUUCAAAUGAUAUCAAAGUAGUCACUGGAAAACAUGUAAUAAAAGCCAUUAUGAAGUUAGUUUCUUUGCUUCCAGGCACAAAAUGCCAUCAAAUAUUUAAUUUUUGAAAUUAUAAUAGGCAUGACUUUUUACCAUCACAUAUACACAGCCAUAUAGAAAACAUUAAUAUUUUAUUAUUAUUUUGGAAAUAUCAUGUUCUUACAGAUGUAGAUGUAGAUAUCUAUUUGACUCACUGAACUAUCAUUCAGAAGUUGAACAACAUUACUUAUUACCUGGUUAUCUACAGACACACAAAUAUACAUCAGGUGGCAAGGAGGGGUCCAGCAAUAAACAUGGGAGUCUAAAACCUUGUAAUGAAGUCCAAGGGAAAACAAGGAUACCAUGAAAAAAUGGAGAAAAAUUCAAAAUAAUAUAGAAACAAGUUUCUCGUUUGGUUACCACAGAAAUAUUGAGAGUAAGAAAAAAUACUUCAUGGUGUAAUUAACAAUAAAGUUCUAUAAAAAAGUUAUGGCUUGAAAAAAGAGAAGGUCCUGCUUUACUGAAGGCAGAGAAUCAGGAAAUCCUCGCAGGACUAAUUUUUAAAUUGUGGAAAUUAAUUAAAUAAAUAUUUCCUGGGAAAACCUAACCCCAUAAUUAGUCUCAGUUUGUCUGCCUACAUUAAAUUAUAUUAUCUGAAGCAUGCUGUUACAUUUCUCCUUAAUAUAUUUCACAACUAAUGAA